UUAAGACUUGCAGUGAUGUUUAGAUAAAUUAUUACAUGAACAUCACUCUAAGUCUGUGCU
rnacentral:pre_miRNA from 1 species